CGUACGGGUGAGUAACACGUGACUAACCUACCCUCGAGUGGGGAAUAACUUCGGGAAACCGAGGCUAAUACCGCAUAACAUCUACGGAUCAAAUGCGCAAGCAGCUUGAGGAGGGGGUCGCGGCUGAUUAGCUAGUUGGCGGGGUAACGGCCCACCAAGGCAAUGAUCAGUAGCCGGCCUGAGAGGGCGCACGGCCACACUGGAACUGAAACACGGUCCAGACUCCUACGGGAGGCAGCAGUGGGGAAUUUUGCGCAAUGGGGGAAACCCUGACGCAGCAACGCCGCGUGGAGGAUGAAGCCCCUUGGGGUGUAAACUCCUUUCGAUCGGGACGAUUAUGACGGUACCGGAUGAAGAAGCACCGGCUAACUCUGUGCCAGCAGCCGCGGUAAUACAGAGGGUGCAAGCGUUGUUCGGAAUUAUUGGGCGUAAAGGGUGCGUACGCGGUGCGGUAAGUCUUCUGUGAAACCUCCGGGCUUAACUCGGAGCCUGCAGGGGAAACUGCCGUGCUGGAGUAUGGGAGAGGUGAGUGGAAUUCCCGG
rnacentral:rRNA from 1 species